UACGAGGGGUCCAAGCGUUGCUCGGAAUCAUUGGGCGUAAAGCGUGUGUAGGUGGCUUUGUAAGUCCGUGGUGAAAUCUCUGAGCUUAACUCAGAAACUGCCGUGGAUACUAUUUGCCUUGAAUAUUGUGGAGGUGAGCGGAAUAUGUCAUGUAGCGGUGAAAUGCUUAGAUAUGACAUAGAACACCAAUUGCGAAGGCAGCUGACGAAACUGUAACUGACGCUGAGGCACGAAAGCGUGGGGAUCAAACAGG
rnacentral:rRNA from 1 species